GAUGAACGCUAGCGGCAGGCUUAAUACAUGCAAGUCGAGGGGCAGCAGCUUUGUAGCAAUACAGAAGCUGGCGACCGGCAAACGGGUGCGGAACACGCACGCAACCUUCCUUUAACUGGAAGAUAGCCCACCGAAAGGUGGAUUAAUACUCCAUAACAUAUUGAAGAGGCAUCUCUUUGAUAUUAAAGCUCCGGCGGUUAAAGAUGGGCGUGCGUCUGAUUAGGUAGUUGGCGGGGUAACGGCCCACCAAGCCUUCGAUCAGUAGCUGAUGUGAGAGCAUGAUCAGCCACACGGGCACUGAGACACGGGCCCGACUCCUGCGGGAGGCAGCAGUAAGGAAUAUUGGUCAAUGGACGCAAGUCUGAACCAGCCAUGCCGCGUGGAGGAUGAAGGCCCUCUGGGUUGAAAACUUCUUUUCUUUGGGACGAAACCCCUGUUUCUACGGGGACUGACGGUACCAGAGGAAUAAGCACCGGCUAACUCCGUGCCAGCCGCCGCCGUAA
rnacentral:rRNA from 1 species